GACCGGUUAGCUCAUUUGGUUAGAGCGCUACUUUGACAUAGUAGAGGUGAAAGGUUCGAAUCCUUUACCGGUCACCA
rnacentral:tRNA from 2 species